rnacentral:lncRNA from 1 species
GUGGGCGGUUCUGGGCGGGCCCUCACCUGAUAUCUCUGGAAGGCUCCGCCGAGUGUCAAGUUUUCGAGGUCGUCUCAGGUGAGGUGGUCGUGCCGGAAGUAGUUGUGCCUCGCGCCUGGGUGUUGAAAGAAAGCUGCGGGAGGAGCUUUAGUCAUUCAAGGGGGCGCGGCACCAGUAGGAGCUCUUCGCGGCCCCCGCAGCAGCCAUGGCGAAAGGCAGAGUGGCUGAUCGAUCGCCCACCGAAAUGUUGCACUCGACCCCAGCCGGGGACCGGGCAGUGAGGACCCAGGGUUCCGCCGCGCCUGGCAGCAAAGAUCAUCUGAACGGUGAGUGGACCUGCGGGACGGGGCUGAGGCUGCCCUAAAGAUUAGGACCCCGUGGUGCAGGUCGCAGGGAAAGAGGGACCUUUCAGCACCGAAGCAUCUCAGCAAGAGAGUCCUGUACUUGGCGGGGAACCCAGCAUGACAGAGGGCUAGACUCCUCCUAGUUAGUUUUUUCUCAAUAGACUUUAGUCAAAGGAAGCGGUGACCCCGACUUGUGACACCAAAUAGACCGGUUCGUUAUCCAGGCCACCCAGACAGGUAUUUGAGAGACUUGAGCUUUCGUUGUAUUGUUUUACAGAUGAACAUACUGAGGACUAUGCAGCUCCAUGACUUGUGUAGAGUCACAGAGCCACACUAAGGUUGUGAUUAAGAGCAAAGACUUGCCCUUCCAGGUGCCACUUGAAAGUGUCAGAUUCUAGCCGGUGGUAGUUGUAGUUGCGCGUCCUUUUAAUCCAGUUCUCCGGAGACAGACAAGUUCCAGGUUACACAGAGAAAACCCUGCCUCGAAAAAAACACAACAUUUUCAGCUCUUGUGUUUCCAUUUAACCUGGUUUGUAACUU